GACGAACGCUGGCGGCGUGCCUAAUACAUGCAAGUAGAACGCUGAAGGAGGAGCUUGCUUCUCUGGAUGAGUUGCGAACGGGUGAGUACGCGUAGGUAACCUACCUGGUAGCGGGGGAUAACUAUUGGAAACGAUAGCUAAUACCGCAUAAGAGUAGAUGUCGCAUGACAUUUGCUUAAAAGGUGCAAUUGCAUCACUACCAGAUGGACCUGCGUUGUAUUAGCUAGUUGGUGAGGUAACGGCUCACCAAGGCAACGAUACAUAGCCGACCUGAGAGGGUGAUCGGCCACACUGGGACUGAGACACGGCCCAGACUCCUACGGGAGGCAGCAGUAGGGAAUCUUCGGCAAUGGACGGAAGUCUGACCGAGCAACGCCGCGUGAGUGAAGAAGGUUUUCGGAUCGUAAAGCUCUGUUGUAAGAGAAGAACGAGUGUGAGAGUGGAAAGUUCACACUGUGACGGUAUCUUACCAGAAAGGGACGGCUAACUACGUG
rnacentral:rRNA from 1 species